UACAGAGGUCUCAAGCGUUGUUCGGAUUCAUUGGGCGUAAAGGGCGCGUAGGCUGCGGGGCAAGUCGGGUGUGAAAUCUCAGAGCUCAACUCUGAAACUGCACUCGAUACUGCUUUGCUCGAGUGCGGAAGGGGCAAUCGGAAUUCUUGGUGUAGCGGUGAAAUGCGUAGAGAUCGGAAGGAACAUCAGUGGCGAAGGCGGCUACCUGGACAGAUACUGACACUGAGGCGCGAAAGCGUGGGGAGCAAACAGG
rnacentral:rRNA from 1 species